rnacentral:rRNA from 1 species
GARGGCUUAGGGUUGUAAAGUACUUUCRACAGAGAUGAUAAUGACAGUAUCUGGWRAAGAAACCGGGCUAACUACGUGCACAGCAGCCGAGGUAAUACGAAGGGGGAUAGCGUUGUUCGGAAUKACUGGGCGUAAAGCGCACGUAGGCGGAUUGGUAAGUUAGGGKUGAAAUCCCAGGGCUCAACCCUGGAACUKCCUUUAAAACUKGCCAGRUCUAGAGUUCRWGAGAGGUGAGUGGAAUUCCGWGUGUAGAGGUGAAAUUCGUAGAUAUUCGKAGGAACACCAGUGGCGAAGRCGKCUCACUGSMUCGAAUACUGACGCUGAGGUKCGAAAGUGUGGGGAGCAAACAGGAUUAGAUACCYUGGUAGUCCACMRCCGUAAACGAUGAAUGCUYAGUCGUCGGGAAGCAUACUUGUCAGGUUACCAGCACUAACGCAUUAAGUAUUCC